UACGAAGGGGGCUAGCGUUGUUCGGAAUUACUGGGCGUAAGGCGCGCGCAGGCGGUCUUCCAAGUCAGUGGUGAAAGCCCGGAGCUCAACUCCGGAACUGCCAUUGAAACUGUGAGACUUGAGGAUGAGAGAGGUGAGUGGAAUUCCCAGUGUAGAGGUGAAAUUCGUAGAUAUUGGGAAGAGCACCGGUGGCGAAGGCGGCUCACUGGCUCAUUUCUGACGCUCAGGCGCGACAGCGUGGGGAUCAAACAGG
rnacentral:rRNA from 1 species